UGCUCCUAGUACGAGAGGACCGGAGUGGACGAACCUCUGGUGUUCCGGUUGUCACGCCAGUGGCAUUGCCGGGUAGCUACGUUCGGACGGGAUAACCGCUGAAAGCAUCUAAGCGGGAAGCCUCCCUCGAGAUAAGUUAUCAUAGAGUCGUGGAAGACCACCACGUUGAUAGGCUGGGUGUGGAAGUGCGGCAACGCAU
rnacentral:rRNA from 1 species